UCGACUAUCCCUCUAGAUGCGUCGUCCCUGUCGCAUAGUGAUCACCGUGUAAAACAAGGUUUUGACCACAUCAGCUACCGCGCUACAACUUUAGACCGAGCCCGCAGACGAGCCGCGUCAAGCAACAGUUUCAGGUGAGGAGUGAAGUUGCGUGCCGGUUCCCAUCGGCACCGACCCAUGGGUCAUCAAAUGCGCGCCGGCAGGAAACUAGGCCUACAGCCGCCGAACGAGUGGAUACUGAAGAGAAGACCGCCAGAGUGCCAGUCAGGUUGAUGGAAUCGACCUUGCCAAUGCAAUGCUUGGUGGCAAUGCUAUGUCAUUGACAGCUGUGCGUGGACACCGCAACUCUCCCCUUCUCGUGUGUGGCAUACUCCGGAGGUCCCUGGUUUCCUGACUCGCUGACGUGGUGGCAGGUAGGCAGCCGUAAAUACUUCCAGACCGCCG
rnacentral:lncRNA from 1 species